CAGUAGCCACGGUAAUACGUAGGGUGCGAGCGUUAAUCGGAAUUACUGGGCGUAAAGCGUGCGCAGGCGGCUUUGCAAGACAGAUGUGAAAUCCCCGGGCUCAACCUGGGAACUGCAUUUGUGACUGCAAGGCUAGAGUACGGUAGAGGGGGAUGGAAUUCCGCGUGUAGCAGUGAAAUGCGUAGAUAUGCGGAGGAACACCAAUGGCGAAGGCAAUCCCCUGGACCUGUACUGACGCUCAUGCACGAAAGCGUGGGGAGCAAACAGGAUUAGAUACCCCGGUAGUCCCUGUCUCUUAUAC
rnacentral:rRNA from 1 species